CGUAGGGACCAAGCGUUGUUCGGAUUUACUGGGCGUAAAGGGCGCGUAGGCGGCGCGGUGAGUCACUUGUGAAAUCUCUGAGCUUAACUCAGAACGGCCAAGUGAUACUGCAGUGCUAGAGUGUGGAAGGGGCAAUCGGAAUUCUUGGUGUAGCGGUGAAAUGCGUAGAUAUCAAGAGGAACACCUGAGGUGAAGACGGGUUGCUGGGCCAACACUGACGCUGAUGCGCGAAAGCCAGGGGAGCAAACGGGAUUAGAUACCCCGGUAGUCCUGGCCCUAAACGAUGAAUACUUGGUGUCUGGAGUUUUAAUGCUCCGGGUGCCGUCGCUAACGUUUUUAGUAUUCCGCCUGGGGAGUACGCUCGCAAGAGUG
rnacentral:rRNA from 1 species